rnacentral:rRNA from 1 species
UACGUAGGGUGCGAGCGUUGUCCGGAUUUAUUGGGCGUAAAGGGCUCGUAGGCGGCGUGUCGCGUCGGGAGUGAAAGCCCGUUGCUUAACGGCGGGUUGGCUUUCGGUACGGGCAUGCUGGAGUGCGGCAGGGGAGACUGGAAUUCCCGGUGUAGCGGUGGAAUGCGCAGAUAUCAGGAGGAACACCGGUGGCGAAGGCGGGUCUCUGGGCCGUUACUGACGCUGAGGAGCGAAAGCGUGGGGAGCGAACAGG